UACGUAGGCGGUUGUUUAAGUCAGAUGUGAAAGCCCGAGGCUCAACCUCGGGACUGCAUUUGAAACUGGACGACUAGAGUACAGGAGAGGAAAGCGGAAUUCCUAGUGUAGCGGUGAAAUGCGUAGAUAUUAGGAAGAACACCAGUGGCGAAGGCGGCUUUCUGGACUGUAACUGACGCUGAGGUACGAAAGCGUGGGGAGCGAACA
rnacentral:rRNA from 1 species